rnacentral:rRNA from 1 species
UCGAUUGAGUUUGAUCCUGGCUCAGGACGAACGCUGGCGGCGUGCUUAACACAUGCAAGUGGAGCGACGAACCAGGCUUCGGCCUGGGGCGAAGCCGCGAACGGGUGAGUAACACGUGGGUAACCUGCCCUGAUGAUCGGGACAACCCGGGGAAACCCGGGCUAAUACCGAAUGUGCCCGCGAGCCACAAGGCUCGCGCGGAAAGGAAGCUUUGGCCUCCGCAUCGGGAUGGGCCCGCGGCCCAUUAGCUUGUUGGUGGGGUAAUGGCCUACCAAGGCAGCAAUGGGUAGCUGGUCUGAGAGGACGAUCAGCCACACUGGGACUGAGACACGGCCCAGACUCCUACGGGAGGCAGCAGUGGGGAAUCUUGCGCAAUGCACGAAAGCGUGACGCAGCAACGCCGCGUGGGGGAAGACGGCCUUCGGGUUGUAAACCCCUUUCAGUUGGGACGAAGCCUCGUCGGUGAAUAGCCGGCUGGAGUGACGGUACCUUCAGAAGAAGCCCCGGCUAACUACGUGCCAGCAGCCGCGGAAAUACGUAGGGGGCAAGCGUUGACCGGAAUCAUUGGGCGUAAAGAGCGUGUAGGCGGCCCGAUAAGUCCGCCGUGAAAGUCCAGGGCUCAACCCUGGAAUGCCGGUGGAUACUGUCGGGCUAGAGUCCGGAAGGGGCGAGUGGAAUUCCUGGUGUAGCGGUGAAAUG